rnacentral:rRNA from 1 species
AGGUUGCAAGCGUUGUCCGGAAUUACUGGGUGUAAAGGGCGUGUAGGCGGAGCUGCAAGUCAGAUGUGAAAUCCCGGGGCUCAACCCCGGAACUGCAUUUGAAACUGUAGCCCUUGAGUAUCGGAGAGGCAAGCGGAAUUCCUAGUGUAGCGGUGAAAUGCGUAGAUAUUAGGAGGAACACCAGUGGCGAAGGCGGCUUGCUGGACGACAACUGACGCUGAGGCGCGAAAGCGUGGGGAGCAAA